rnacentral:rRNA from 1 species
UUUCCGUAGGUGAACCUGCGGAAGGAUCAUUAUUGAAAUAAACCUGAUGGGUUGCUGCUGGCUCUCUUGGGAGCAUGUGCACACUUGUCAUCUUUAUAUCUCCACCUGUGCACCUUUUGUAGAUCUGGAUAUCUUUCUGAAUGCCUGGCAUUCAGGUUUGAGGAUUGACUUUUGUCUUUCCUUACAUUUCCAGGCCUAUGUUUUCUUCAUAUACACCAUGUAUGUUAUAGAAUGUAAUGAAAAGGGCCUUUGUGCCUACAAACCUUAUACAACUUUCAGCAACGGAUCUCUUGGCUCUCGCAUCGAUGAAGAACGCAGCGAAAUGCGAUAAGUAAUGUGAAUUGCAGAAUUCAGUGAAUCAUCGAAUCUUUGAACGCACCUUGCGCUCCUUGGUAUUCCGAGGAGCAUGCCUGUUUGAGUGUCAUUAAUAUAUCAACCUCUUCAUGUUUUUACUUGUUGAGUGUUUGGAUGUGGGGGUAUCUUUUGCUGGUCUCUUUGGAGGUCGGCUCCCCUGAAAUGCAUUAGCGGAACAAUUUGUUGACUCGUUCAUUGGUGUGAUAACUAUCUACGCUAUUGACGUGAAGCAGGUUCAGCUUCUAACAGUCCAUUGACUUGGACAAAUUUUCAUUAAUGUGACCUCAAAUCAGGUAGGACUACCCGCUGAACUUAA